rnacentral:rRNA from 1 species
AUGAACGCUAGCGACAGGCCUAACACAUGCAAGUCGAGGGGCAGCACAAGGAGUAAUCUGAGGUGGCGACCGGCGCACGGGUGAGUAACACGUAUGCAACCUGCCUGUAAGCGGGGAAUAACCCGUUGAAAGACGGACUAAUACCGCAUAAUACUAAAUUACUGCAUGGUAAUUUAUUUAAACAUUUAUGGCUUACAGAUGGGCAUGCGCAUGAUUAGCUAGUUGGAGAGGUAACGGCUCCCCAAGGCAACGAUCAUUAGGGGUCUGAGAGGAAGGUCCCCCACACUGGUACUGAGACACGGACCAGACUCCUACGGGAGGCAGCAGUGAGGAAUAUUGGUCAAUGGACGAGAGUCUGAACCAGCCAAGUCGCGUGCAGGAAGAAUGUCCCUAUGGAUUGUAAACUGCUUUUGCAGGGGAAUAAAGUGCAUCACGUGUGAUGUUUUGUAUGUACUCUGCGAAUAAGGAUCGGCUAACUCCGUGCCAGCAGCCGC